AUUGAACGCUGGCGGCAUGCUUUACACAUGCAAGUCGAACGGCAGCGCGGGCUUCGGCCUGGCGGCGAGUGGCGAACGGGUGAGUAAUACAUCGGAACGUGCCCAGUAGUUGGGGAUAGCUCGGCUAAAGCCGGAUUAAUACCGCAUACGACCUGAGGGUGAAAGCGGGGGAUCUUCGGACCUCGCGCUAUUUGAGCGGCCGAUGGCAGAUUAGCUAGUUGGUGGGGUAAAGGCCUACCAAGGCGACGAUCUGUAGCUGGUCUGAGAGGACGACCAGCCACACUGGGACUGAGACACGGCCCAGACUCCUACGGGAGGCAGCAGUGGGGAAUUUUGGACAAUGGGCGAAAGCCUGAUCCAGCAAUGCCGCGUGUGUGAUGAAGGCCUUCGGAUUGUAAAGCACUUUUGGCGGGAACGAAAAGGACUGUGCCAAUACCACGGUUCGAUGACGGUACCCGCAGAAUAAGCACCGGCUAACUACGUG
rnacentral:rRNA from 1 species